rnacentral:rRNA from 1 species
UACGAAGGGGGCUAGCGUUGUUCGGAUUUUACUGGGCGUAAAGCGCACGUUAGGCGGAUCGAUCAAGUCAGGGGUGAAAUCCCAGAGCUCAACUCUGGAACUGCCUUUGAGUACUGUCGCUUCUGGAGGUAUGGAAGAGGUGAGUGGAAUUCCGAGUGUAGAGGUGAAAUUCGUAGAUAUUCGGAGGAACACCAGUGGCGAAGGCGGCUCACUGGUCCAUUACUGACGCUGAGGUGCGAAAGCGGUGGGAGCGAACAGG